GGGAAUGUGGCUUAGUGGUAGAGUGCUUGCCUUGCAUGCAUGAAGCCCUGGGUUCGAUUCCUCAGCACUA
rnacentral:tRNA from 1 species